rnacentral:rRNA from 1 species
UACAGAGGUCUCAAGCGUUGUUCGGAUUCAUUGGGCGUAAAGAGCGUGUAGGCGGCCAGAUAAGUCCGCUGUGAAAUCUCGAGGCUCAACUUCGAGCUGUCGGUGGAAACUAUCUGGCUAGAGUCCGGAAGAGGAGAAUGGAAUUCCUGGUGUAGCGGUGAAAUGCGCAGAUAUCAGGAAGAACACCCGUGGCGAAGGCGGUCUCUGGGACGGUACUGACGCUGAGACGCGAAAGCGUGGGGAGCGAACAGG